GUGAAGCGGCAACAGCUCAAAUUUGAAAUCUGGCUCUUUUAGAGUCCGAGUUGUAAUUUGCAGAGGGCGCUUUGGCGUUGGCAGCGGUCCAAGUUCUUUGGAACAGGACGUCACAGAGGGUGAGAAUCCCGUACGUGGUCGCUAGCCUUCGCCGUGUAAAGCCCCUUCGACGAGUCGAGUUGUUUGGGAAUGCAGCUCUAAAUGGGAGGUAAAUUUCUUCUAAAGCUAAAUACUGGCCAGAGACCGAUAGCGCACAAGUAGAGUGAUCGAAAGAUGAAAAGCACUUUGGAAAGAGAGUCAAAUAGCACGUGAAAUUGUUGAAAGGGAAGCGCUUGCAGCCAGACUUGCCUGUAGUUGCUUAUCCGGACUUUUGUCCGGUGCACUCUUCUGCGGGCAGGCCAGCAUCAGUUUAGGCGGUUGGAUAAAGGUCUCUAUCACGUACCUCCCUUCGGGGUUGGCCUUAUAGGGGAGACGACAUGCAACCAGCCUGAACUGAGGUCCGCGCAUCUGCUAGGAUGCUGGCGUAAUGGCUGUAAGCGGCCCGUCUUGAAACACGGACCAAGGAGUCUAACAUCUAUGCGAGUGUUUGGGUGUCAAGCCCAGACGCGUAAUGAAAGUGAACGGAGGUGGGAACCUUUUAGGUGCACCAUCGACCGAUCCUGAUGUCUUCGGAUGGAUUUGAGUAAGAGCAUGGCUGUUGGGACCCGAAAGAUGGUGAACUAUGCUUGAAUAGGGUGAAGCCAGAGGAAACUCUGGUGGAGGCUCGCAGCGGUUCUGACGUGCAAAUCGAUCGUCAAAUUUGGGCAUAGGGGCGAAAGACUAAUCGA
rnacentral:rRNA from 1 species